UACGUAGGGCGCGAGCGUUGUCCGGAAUUAUUGGGCGUAAAGAGCUUGUAGGCGGUUUGUCGCGUCUGCUGUGAAAAUCCGGGGCUCAACCCCGGACUUGCAGUGGGUACGGGCAGACUAGAGUGUGGUAGGGGAGACUGGAAUUCCUGGUGUAGCGGUGGAAUGCGCAGAUAUCAGGAGGAACACCGAUGGCGAAGGCAGGUCUCUGGGCCGAUACUGACGCUGAGAAGCGAAAGCGUGGGGAGCGAACAGG
rnacentral:rRNA from 1 species